UCCGUAGGUAACCUGCGGAGGGAUCAUUACACAAAUAUGAAGGCGGGCUGGAACCUCUCGGGGUUACAGCCUUGCUGAAUUAUUCACCCUUGUCUUUUGCGUACUUCUUGUUUCCUUGGUGGGUUCGCCCACCACUAGGACAAACAUAAACCUUUUGUAAUUGCAAUCAGCGUCAGUAACAAAUUAAUAAUUACAACUUUCAACAACGGAUCUCUUGGUUCUGGCAUCGAUGAAGAACGCAGCGAAAUGCGAUAAGUAGUGUGAAUUGCAGAAUUCAGUGAAUCAUCGAAUCUUUGAACGCACAUUGCGCCCUUUGGUAUUCCAAAGGGCAUGCCUGUUCGAGCGUCAUUUGUACCCUCAAGCUUUGCUUGGUGUUGGGCGUCUUGUCUCUAGCUUUGCUGGAGACUCGCCUUAAAGUAAUUGGCAGCCGGCCUACUGGUUUCGGAGCGCAGCACAAGUCGCACUCUCUAUCAGCAAAGGUCUAGCAUCCAUUAAGCCUUUUUUCAACUUUGACCUCGAUCAGGUAGG
rnacentral:rRNA from 1 species